rnacentral:rRNA from 1 species
CGGUAUAUAAUGUCCCGCCCCCCCGGUAUUUUUGGGUGGCUAGCGUUUUCCGAAAUUUUGGCGGGAAAGGCUGGCCGCCUUAGAGUUUGAUUCUGGCUCAGGACGAACGCUGGCGGCGUGCCUAAUACAUGCAAGUCGAGCGGACAGAUGGGAGCUUGCUCCCUGAUGUUAGCGGCGGACGGGUGAGUAACACGUGGGUAACCUGCCUGUAAGACUGGGAUAACUCCGGGAAACCGGGGCUAAUACCGGAUGGUUGUUUGAACCGCAUGGUUCAAACAUAAAAGGUGGCUUCGGCUACCACUUACAGAUGGACCCGCGGCGCAUUAGCUAGUUGGUGAGGUAACGGCUCACCAAGGCAACGAUGCGUAGCCGACCUGAGAGGGUGAUCGGCCACACUGGGACUGAGACACGGCCCAGACUCCUACGGGAGGCAGCAGUAGGGAAUCUUCCGCAAUGGACGAAAGUCUGACGGAGCAACGCCGCGUGAGUGAUGAAGGUUUUCGGAUCGUAAAGCUCUGUUGUUAGGGAAGAACAAGUACCGUUCGAAUAGGGCGGUACCUUGACGGUACCUAACCAGAAAGCCACGGCUAACUACGUGCCAGCAGCCGCGGUAAUACGUAGGUGGCAAGCGUUGUCCGGAAUUAUUGGGCGUAAAGGGCUCGCAGGCGGUUUCUUAAGUCUGAUGUGAAAGCCCCCGGCUCAACCGGGGAGGGUCAUUGGAAACUGGGGAACUUGAGUGCAGAAGAGGAGAGUGGAAUUCCACGUGUAGCGGUGAAAUGCGUAGAGAUGUGGAGGAACACCAGUGGCGAAGGCGACUCUCUGGUCUGUAACUGACGCUGAGGAGCGAAAGCGUGGGGAGCGAACAGGAUUAGAUACCCUGGUAGUCCACGCCGUAAACGAUGAGUGCUAAGUGUUAGGGGGUUUCCGCCCCUUAGUGCUGCAGCUAACGCCAUUAA